AUUGCAGCAGGUAAUGCCCAGCCCCGGGCACUCUGUGCAGGCGGUGUCCUUGAAGCUCUACCCAGCUCUUGGCUCUGGGAAAAGGGAACAAUGGACACUGUCGGGCAUGGACAUGAUGGGGCUUCCAGAAGAGUUACUCUGGGCCUCCAGGGUGACGUCAAAGGACAGGGGUGUCUCUUAAGGUGACCUUCCAGCCACAGCCCUUUUGUUGGAGACAGGCAUACUCCCGUUACAGUCAUCACCACAUGGCUCUGUCCCAGAGUCAUGACUGUGUCUUUCAGAGACCACAGGAGGAAAACAACCACUUCUGGGAUGAGGACAGGGCCCUUGAGAGAAGGUGGUGUUUGGCUGGGCCACCGAAAACCCCUCGCCCCUGCCAGCACACUCAGUCUCCUCUCUGGUCGAACAGAGCUCUGCCUGUGGUCCUGGGUCCCAGCCCUGAAAACCACAGGUCCAGCGGUGGCCAGGGACACAGGCCCACCCCUGCAAGCCAGCAGACAAAUUGGCAGACGCCUGAAACACGAAGUUCAUGGCAGGAUCAGGCUUUGUGUCAUUCACAGCCCUCUAGAUAGGCCGAGAACCAGAACUCAUUUUUUAAGGAACACCAGUGAGUCUGGAGAUUUUUUUCUUUUGCUUCGGUCUUUUGCAGCUUUCUCUACUAAGGGUUCUCCUUUUUCACCCAAGUAAUUGCCUUUCCAUCUAAUGGCCCAAAUGGUCAAAUGGCAUCUACUAGUCUCAUAUGACCGCUGCCUCUCUGGCCUCGCCCUGCUGCUGAGGUCAGCAUGACCUGGAACUGUCCGCUGGUCCCUUUCAGUAACCUGAAGCUUUCACCGUAGACGUGCUGUAUAGCCCAGAAGCCAUCGUGUCGCUGGUCGGGGUCCUGCGGAGGCUGGCUGCCUGCCGGGAGCACCAGCGGGCUCCUCAAGUCUAUGUGGCCCUUACCAUCUGCAACCCAGAGACGUGCCAGCUGUUCACCACUGAGCUAUGCCGGGCUGGGAUCAGAUGGGAAGUGGAACCUCGUCAUGACCAGAAACUGUUUCCCUACGAAGAGCACUUGGAGAUGGCAAUGCUGAACCUCACACUGUAGGACUCACAUACGACUCCAACGGGAUUGUGAGAAUCAAGUCACUCUAGUGGGAAGAGUUUUUAUAUGGGAAAGCGGAUAAAACUUUCAUUGGACUGGAAUGUUUGGAGAAUGUUAAUUUCCAAAUCAGGAACCACAAACUGCCCUCUAAUAAGACAUCAGCUAUCUAAGCAUGUGGGUGCUCCCUUUCUGCCAGCAGUUCUGGUUCUUAAGAAAAUCGCCAUCAAUCAGACAUGAAAUCUCUGGCUCCAAAAAUAGCAUUUUCUUUGUGCAAAUAAAAACGUGUGUAUCAAGUAUGAUGUUCCCCCAAUGUGGACACACUCGGUUCCCCACAAAGCCAAGCCCGCUGCAGCUGCCACAUCCCUGGACACAUUCGGUUCCUCACAAAGCCAAGCCCGCUGCAGCUGCCACAUCCGUGGACACACUCGGUUCUUCACAAAGCCAAGCCCACUGCAGCUGCCACAUCCCUGGGCUUACAGUGCAGCAGGUGCUUUUUUCAAGACAGGAAUCAAAAUGUUAGGAACACGGCGGAAAGAUGACACCUGGAGAGCAAACGCAGGAUGAGGAGUACUGCAGAGGUCACACGGAAGUCGCAGAACAGUAAUCCGCUAGCAGGGGCAUGGGGCGUGAAGAACAGAAGAAGAUAGGAAGUGUUUCCGAGCCUCCAGAAAAGAAAUCAGAGCCAAGCACAGCUUCCCGGGUCACAGAACCAAUUCAUUUACCAGGCGGCACCACUGCCGUCAUUUCACCUUCUGGCCACUGGGAGGCGCUGCUCGAAAGGGUUUGCCCUGAGACUCCGAGAAGAAGCUGCGGGAAGGACAGCAGGGGUCCCGGGGUUUUAGCCUCUGGCCCAGGAGUUAUGUGUCCAUAACCAAAUGGAGCACACUCUGCACCCAGCUCUCAUCCCAUCGGAGCUGCUGCGAUUCCCGCAGGUUCUUCCAGAACUGGUUUAGCUUGCCCGCAGGAUCAGGAAAGUUUGAGAAAAGCAUCUGCAAAAAAAUAAAGAGCAGAGCUUAACUCAUUUCCUGUCCCCACCCCAUCCCAGGUCACCACCUGGCUGACCCCAGGUCCCCGACCCAACAACAAACCCUCCCAAGUUCCUAACUCCCUCACUUGGACUCGAGACUCUUCACGCCCCAGCAGCGCUCCGCCUCCAACUUGACAUCACGCUUUCUGUCCCACUUUCCCACACUUCGUGCCCUGGAGCACCUCCCGGCCUCUACACGCUGUAUGUUCCCCUGCGAGCACCCUCCUCUUGGCCUCUGGCCAAGUCCCACCCAUCUGUGGGUAACAAGGGGGUGUUGGUGUUCUUUUCAGCCUUGCUAAACUGUCUGAAUCAAGGAUCACAAACUACAGCCUGCAGGCCAAAUCCAGCCCACAGCCUGUGUUUGUAAAUAAAGUUUUAUUGGAAC
ensembl:lncRNA FAM86C2P family with sequence similarity 86, member A pseudogene